UCCAUCCUACGGGAGGCAGCAGUGGGGAAUAUUGCACAAUGGGGGAAACCCUGAUGCAGCGACGCCGCGUGAGUGAAGAAGUAUUUCGGUAUGUAAAGCUCUAUCAGCAGGGAAGAAAAUGACGGUACCUGGCGAAGAAGCCCCGGCUAACUACGUGCCAGCAGCCGCGGUAAUACGUAGGGGGCAAGCGUUAUCCGGAUUCACUGGGUGUAAAGGGAGCGCAGGCGGUACGGCGAGUCUGAUGUGAAAACCCGGGGCCCAACCCCGGGACCGCACCGGAUACUGCCGGACUCGAGUGCCGGAGGGGCAGGCGGAAUUCCUGGUGUAGCGGUGAAAUGCGCAGAUAUCAGGAGGAACACCGGUGGCGAAGGCGGCCUGCUGGACGGUAACUGACGCUGAGGCUCGAAAGCGUGGGGAGCGAACAGGAUUAGAUACCCGCGUAU
rnacentral:rRNA from 1 species